rnacentral:rRNA from 1 species
CGCCUCUUGAAACUACAUAAGAGGUCCAGCCUGCCCAGUGACUAAGUUCAACGGCCGCGGUAUCCUAACCGUGCGAAGGUAGCGUAAUCACUUGUUCUUUAAAUGAGGACUAGUAUGAAUGGCACCACGAGGGUUAUGCUGUCUCCUUUUUCUAAUCAAUGAAACUGAUCUCCCCGUGAAGAAGCGGGGAUAUAUUUAUAAGACGAGAAGACCCUAUGGAGCUUUAAAUCAUGUAACACUGGCUUUCACAUUAAAAUAUUCCAGAAUUUUCAUAAUUACUCUAGCCACUAUGAUUACUAGUUUUAGGUUGGGGUGACCACGGAGCAAAAAUUAACCUCCAUGUUGAACGGAGCUACUCCUGAGCCAAAAGCCACGACUUUAAGCACUAAUAAAUUAACAUUAAUUGACCCAAUAUUUUUGAUCAACGAACCAAGUUACCCUAGGGAUAACAGCGCA